rnacentral:rRNA from 1 species
AGUGAACGCUGGCGGUAGGCCUAACACAUGCAAGUCGAACGGCAGCACAGUAAGAGCUUGCUCUUACGGGUGGCGAGUGGCGGACGGGUGAGGAAUACAUCGGAAUCUACUUUUUCGUGGGGGAUAACGUAGGGAAACUUACGCUAAUACCGCAUACGACCUACGGGUGAAAGCAGGGGAUCUUCGGACCUUGCGCGAUUGAAUGAGCCGAUGUCGGAUUAGCUAGUUGGCGGGGUAAAGGCCCACCAAGGCGACGAUCCGUAGCUGGUCUGAGAGGAUGAUCAGCCACACUGGAACUGAGACAUGGUCCAGACUCCUACGGGAGGCAGCAGUGGGGAAUAUUGGACAAUGGGCGCAAGCCUGAUCCAGCCAUACCGCGUGGGUGAAGAAGGCCUUCGGGUUGUAAAGCCCUUUUGUUGGGAAAGAAAAGCAGCAGGUUAAUACCCCGCUGUUCUGACGGUACCCAAAGAAUAAGCACCGGCUAACUUCGU